rnacentral:rRNA from 1 species
AUGAACGCUGGCGGCGUGCCUAACACAUGCAAGUCGAACGGAAGAUUAUCGCUGAUGAAGCUUCGGCAGAAUCUUGAUGAUCUUAGUGGCGGACGGGUGAGUAACGCGUGGGCAACCUGCCUCGUACUGGGGGAUAACAGCUGGAAACGACUGUUAAUACCGCAUAAGCGCACGGUGUCGCAUGACACAGUGUGAAAAACUCCGGUGGUACGAGAUGGGCCCGCGUCAGAUUAGCCAGUUGGUGGGGUAACGGCCUACCAAAGCAACGAUCUGUAGCCGGACUGAGAGGUCGGACGGCCACAUUGGGACUGAGACACGGCCCAAACUCCUACGGGAGGCAGCAGUGGGGGAUAUUGCACAAUGGGCGAAAGCCUGAUGCAGCGACGCCGCCGUGAGUGAAGAAGUAUUUCGGUAUGUAAAGCUCUAUCAGCAGGGAAGAAAGACCCAUUAAGGGAGAUGACGGUACCUGACUAAGAAGCCCCGGCUAACUACGUGCCAGCCGCCGC